CUUGCUGGUCCGCACAGAGUUGACGGAGGCCUGUGAGGACAGGGGACCUGCUGCGAGCUCUGUGGAGACGCUGGGCGCCUGGACUGGGUGGCCGCAUCUACUGUCCCAUCCUCCCAAGUGCCCAGCUCAGGGACACCCUUUGGGGGAGUUAAAAGCUCGAUGACCACAUCCUGACCUCAUUGCUGGGGACCAGCUCCUCCGUGGACUCAGACCAGGAAACACAGGCUCAGCCACACUUGCCACCUGCAUCAAGGAACUGGGCUCAGACUCCCAAGGGACCUGGGGCUUCGGCCAUCAGCUGCAGAGCAGGGGUGAGACCCUUCAUGUGCUCUCUGCCUUCUGGAGCCCACAUGACCCCUGGGUGGUGGACUGGACUUUGUCUCCCAGACAGGUCCAGGUUCAUCCUCCCCGAAUAGUUCUCUCAGCAGGGGUCGCCGAGUGGAAAACCCGUCGGGCUACAUUGGCCUUCCUGCCUCCCUCGGUGCUGGCAGGGGUCAGCGGAGGAGCAUAGAGUUCUCAGCCUGUGGCUCCUCCUCCCUCAGUACUUCGGGGACAGGAUUCUGCCACCACCUGGGCUCCCACUGCCAAGGAGCCGUCUGUGGCCAGUCUAUCUGCCAGGCCUCCGCCACCAGACCCCCCCUCAUCACUAAGGUCCCUCCAACCAGGGUCCUAGGCUUUCACUUGGCUGGGCCCAGGUGGGAAUGUGCUCCUACUCGUCAGGUGCACUUGCAUUCACCAGUGUGUCUGGGGUGUGCUGUGUCCUCACCGGGCAGAAAGGGUGAGGGAGCUCUGCAGGUCUCUUUUGUCCAGACCGGUCCCACUCAUGAGGGCUCCACCCGCAUGACCUUGCCACACCCCAGAGGCGCUACCAACUAACACCAUCACCUUGGGGGUUGUUAGUUUUCAACAUCUGGGUGUGGGGGAUACAUAGAACCAAGUGGCCAGAACGGUCUCUGCAGCCAUGGUGCAUGAGGGGUUUGAGCAGCAGCAGUCCCCAUCUCUUAAGUGGCGGUUUUGGGUGCUGACUCAUCUGAGACGAGGCCCUGGGUCCAGGGAAGGCGGGAGAGAAGACGGCCCUCACCAGAACCCCGCUGCGCGGGCUCCCUGGCCGUGGACUUGCAGCCUCCAGAACUGAGAGAAAUCAGCGUCUGCUGCCUAGAAGCCCCCGCCCACGUUGUCCUAUCAAGGCAGCUUGAGCGGGCUGGGACACUCUUCCUUGAACUUACGUGACCUUUGUUGCAGUUUAUCCAGCAUUCCUAGGUGUUAUUGGUUGGGAUUUUCUCCGCGCUGCCGCCGCCUGGGGUCCCCCACACCCACUCUGCACCUCCAUGCAGAGCCCUGCCUCCCACGAAGACCCACAACUUCAAACGUCGCUGGGCACCCUGAUGCCAGCGUGGGCUCCGGGGAGGCAGGGCAAGCCCUGCCCUUGUCCCCGUGGAGGUGUUCAACACCGCACAACUGCUGUCUGCGUUCCAGCUGGGGAGAAAUCAAAGAGAAAGAGCAGACACCAGUCCUGGCAGUGCAGGGAGCUCACUGGCCAGGCGACAGUGCUGCUGAAUAAAGCGACAAGGAGGCCACCGCAAA